ensembl:lncRNA
AAAAUGGACACAUGCACACCUCACAGUUCAUAUGGGUAAAUUGGAGGAAACCAGAAAACACAGAGGAAAGCCAAUGCAGACACGGAAAACAUGCACAGAAACGCUCUGGAGCUGUGUGCCACAGUUUGACCCCUGGGCAAAACUCUCAGAGAAAGUUAGCCAGAGGCAAUGGGUCAAGCCCAGACGAAGCUUCUGAGGAAGUCCCACUGAGAUCAAAUGAUCUCUUUUACAAGAGAGACCUGGCCAAGGUGCAUAAUAGGAAAAAAGGAGUUUUCCCCAGAUCUGUCAGAACCCGGGGUACAUUAAAAAGCAACAUCUGGAGGAGUGCAAGUGAUAACUACCCGAACUAAGGAAAAGAAGGUUAAAAAGGUAGGGUGGAAGUUUAACAUGUAUAACUUUAAAGCUAAAGAUAUACCAAUGCUGUUUUCUACGUGUAGUCAAUGAUGUCCAACCCUCUAAAUCAUAAAGAGUGCAAUGAGUAAGAGACUUUACAUUGGUAAUAAAAUGCACAGAUGCAUGAUACUCUGACUCAAGGCUCUGUAAAAUAGAGGUAGCUGCAUACAUAUACAAUAUAUCACCGUAAUCAAUCACAGGAAAAAAAGUAGCUUCCACAAGUUUUUUCCUGGCAUUUAAAGUGAA